GCAAGUCGAGGGGCAGCAUUACUUUCGGGUAGAUGGCGACCGGCGCACGGGUGCGUAACGCGUAUGCAACCUACCUUAUACAGAGGGAUAGCCCAUGGAAACGUGGAUUAACACCUCAUAGUAUUAUUUUUUCACCUGAUUAAAUAAUUAAAACUUCGGUGGUAUAAGAUGGGCAUGCGUAGGAUUAGGUAGUUGGUGAGGUAACAGCUCACCAAGCCGACGAUCCUUAGGGGUUCUGAGAGGAUUAUC
rnacentral:rRNA from 1 species